rnacentral:rRNA from 1 species
GCUGGCGGGGACAGCUACACAUGCAAGUCGAACGGCAGCACGGACUUCGGUCUGCGGCGAGUGGCGAACGGGUGAGUAAUGUAUCGGAACGUGCCUAGUAGCGGGGAUAACUACGCGAAAGCGUAGCUAAUACCGGCACACGACACCUCGUGGAAAGCGGGGACCUUCGGGCCUCGCACUAUUAGAGCGGCCGAUAUCGGAUUAAAGUUAGCUGGUGGGGUAACGGCUCACCAAGGCGACGAUCCGUAGCUGGUUUGAGAGGACGACCAGCCACACGGGACUGAGACACGGCCCAGACUCCUACGGGAGGCAGCAGUGGGGAAUUUUUGGACAAUGGGAAACUCCUGAUCCAGCCAUCCUAUGCGCAGGAUGAAGGCUCAGUUGUAAAGCACUUGGCAGAAAGAAACGGCACGGGAUAAUGGCCCGGUGCAACUGACGGUACUCGCAGAAUAAGCACCGGCUAACUACGUGCCAGCAGCCGCAAUACGUAGUGCAAGCGUUAAUCGGAAUUACUGGGCGCAAGCGUGUGCAGGCGGUUCGGAAGAAAGAUGUGAAAUCCCAGAGCUAACUUUGGAACUGCAUUUUUAACUACCGAGCUAGAGUGUGUCAGAGGGAGGUGGAAUUCGCGUGUAGCAGUGAAAUGCGUAGAUAUGCGGAGGAACACCGAUGGCGAAGGCAGCUUCCUGGGGAUAACAACUGACUCAUGCACGAAAGCGUGGGGAGCAAACAGGAUUAGAUACCCGGUAGUCCACGCCCUCAAAUGAUGUCAACUAGCUGUUGGGGCCUUCGCCUUGGUAGCGCAGCAACGGUGAAGUUGACCGCCCGGGGAGAGUACGGUCGCAAGAUUAAAACUCAAAGGAAUUGACGGACCCGCACAAGCGGUGGAUGAUGUGGAUUAAUUCGAUGCAACGCGAAAACCUACCUACCCUUGACAUGUCUGGAAUCCCGAAGAGAUUUGGAGUGCUCGCAAGAGAACCGGAACACAGGUGCUGCAUGGCUGUCGUCAGCUCGUGUCGUGAGAUGUUGGGUUAAGUCCCGCAACGAGCUACAACCUUGUCAUUAGUUGCUACGAAAGGCACCUAAUGAGACUGCCGGUGACAAACUGGAGGAAGGUGGGGAUGACGUCAAGUCCUCAUGGCCCUUAGGUAGGGGCUUUCACACGUCACAAUGGUCGGGACAGAGGGUCGCCAACCCGCGAGGGGGAGCCAAUCCCCCAGAAACCCGAUCGUAGUCCGGAUCGCAGUCUGCAACUCGACUGCGUGAAGUCGGAAUCGCUAGUAAUCGCGGAUCAGCAUGUCGCGGUAACAUGCUCCGGGUCUUGUACACACCGCCCGUCACACCAUGGGAGUGGGUUUUACCAGAAGUAGUUAGCCUAACCGUAAGGAGGGCGAUUACCACGGUAGACUGGGGUGAAGUCGUAACAAGGUAA